CCAGUGGGCGGGACGGUCGCUGGACUGUCGUCUUCGAGGCGGCGGUCGGGAGGAAAGUCCGGGCUCCGCAGGACAGGAUGGUUGAUAACGUCAACCGGCCGCGAGGCUAGGGAAAGUGCAACAGAAAGUAGACCGCCACGGCUUGCCGUGGUAAGGGUGAAACGGUGCGGUAAGAGCGCACCAGCGGUCGAGGUGACUCGAUCGGCUAGGUAAACCCCAUCCGGAGCUAGACCAAACAGAAUGGAGGAGGACACGCGAUCGGGUUUCGGCCCGAAAGAGGUGUCUUCCACGAAGCGGUCCGUUUCGUUACCACAUUCGGGUAGGUCGCAAUUGAGGCGGCGAGCGAUCGCCGUGCACAGAUAAAUGACCGUCGGCGGGAGCGAUCUUCGCUUCCCGUCACAGAACCCGGCUUACAAGCCCACUGGUGAU
rnacentral:RNase_P_RNA from 1 species